AACCCAACCCGGCCUUGGCCGGACCGACAACGAUGGAGCUCGAGUGUCAUUCCCCCUCCUAAGGGCGUUGUCGUGCCGUCUCACCCCUCAAGGGUGGUUGCCGGGCGAAAGCCUAGUUUUCUCUCUUUUGAGACCUUGGUGGACGGUGGCGGUGGUUUUCGUCACUUCUCUCCUUGGAGUUGUCGUUUAGGCAUCCCCUUGCCGAAACCACUCGAGCAAUUGGUGCAAGCACACUCUAGAUUUUUCAUCCUCUUGUGGUGGCGUCCUAGUUUCUACAAGUUGACCACGUCGAAGGGCCUAGGGGGAGAGGUGCUCCAUCUUCUCUCUCACCCUCUCUCCCUAAAUCCUGAAGAUGUGGAUAGAGUUGGACUUUGUGGUAGUUGUAAGAGCCCUAGCGGCGGUCGGUCACGCUUAGCGGCGAUCGGUCCGGUACUAGCCUUCUCCCGGACCUGUGUGUUGGUGCUGUUGGGUUAUAAUUUUAUAGUUGUUUUUUGCUCUAUCAAUAAUCGCACCGUCUCAUGUGAGUCGUUUAAAAAAACUAGUUAA
rnacentral:lncRNA from 2 species